rnacentral:rRNA from 1 species
CCUACGGGUGGCAGCAGUGAGGAAUAUUGGUCAAUGGCCGAGAGGCUGAACCAGCCAAGUCGCGUGAGGGAAGACGGCCCUACGGGUUGUAAACCUCUUUUGUCGGGGAGCAAAGCGAGUCACGUGUGACUCAUUGAGAGUACCCGAAGAAAAAGCAUCGGCUAACUCCGUGCCAGCAGCCGCGGUAAUACGGAGGGUGCGAGCGUUAAUCGGAAUUACUGGGCGUAAAGCGCUCGUAGGCGGUAUGUCAAGUCAAGGGUGAAAUCCCCGCGCUCAACGUGGGAACUGCCUUUGAAACUGGCAAACUGGAGUGUGUGAGAGGAUAGUGGAAUUCCAGGUGUAGGAGUGAAAUCCGUAGAUAUCUGGAGGAACAUCAGUGGCGAAGGCGACUAUCUGGCACAUAACUGACGCUGAGGAGCGAAAGCGUGGGUAGCAAACAGGAUUAGAUACCCCAGUAGUC